rnacentral:lncRNA from 1 species
UCGAUUUAGAAGAUCACAUGCAAUGAAUUCGCAUUGCAUGUGAUGUUUGUUGUGGUGGUGGUGGUUGUCGAAUAAGAGGGUGCCUUGACUCAGUGAACGACGGGCCACGGCAUAGACCUUGGAACAGUUUGGCCGGGAUGCCAGCAAAGCCAUGAGCUCCGCCCCCACGAGCCCGGUGGCUCCAGCGACUAGAGCCACGAUGGGUGCCUGUGGUGCGACUGUGGUGCACCUCUCUGAGCCUAUGACAGGGUCUUGUUGGGGUGGGGGAGAAACCAUGGUCAGGCUCGGAAUAAAAUGGCAGGUAGGAUAUGCAGGCAUCGGAGUUGGCAUACAUACAUAUAGAUACAGCUAAAGGGAUGACGUAUGGCUACCGCAAUGUCAUUUUUUACAUUUUGAGUUUCUAAAUGGAAAAUGGUCAAAACAAGUAAACUCUCACCUCAUGGCUCAUAAAAACUUGUUAUUCAAGUAUUGAAAAACCUUUUAAGUAUAUAUUGUAACAAAUCAUCUAGACAAUCCAUAUUCACCUUAAAAAUAAUUGUUCACAUAUAUGUAAGAUCUAUAUCGUUUUUUAAAUUUCAAAUUUUGUUAUCAAUGUUGGAAAUUAAUUUUAGAGCAUCAUGAAGAUUUUUGAUAACCAAAGUGCUUUUCGGAUGCGGAUUUGAAAUGAAGCUUUAUUUUGUUUUCAUAAAGCCUAUGCACUAUAAAAACUUCAUCCUUUCCAAUUAGAAAUUAGGAGUGGUCACCCAGGACCACCUUGUACAAUUCUUCCAUUACCAAAUUCCAAUUGCAUGGGGAAAUUUGUUUGAGCCUCCAAUCAAUCCAAUUUUUUAAAAAUUUAUUAUGUUGAGAAGGCGGAUAAAUAGUGAUUUGAAAUUUUCAGCCCAAAAUAAAUUUUUUUUUUGGAUGUUAACUUGCUAAAACUCUAGAUAUCAUGUUGUAGCACUCUGCACCCUAACACACAUAAUUAGAUGUCAUUCCUAGCGUGGAGCAUAAUACUUAAGGAUGAUUUUAUUGUUGAAACCAGAAGAUUAAAGAUUGGACUGCUGAUAUUAUCAUUGUUAUUGUCAGGCUCUAAUAAAUAUAUAACAUGAUCGGAUCAAUAUCAGCAGCCUAAUUAAGAUCCAAUGGCUAGUUUCAUAAAAAAUCAAGAUCCAAUGGCUAGUUUCAUAAAAAACCAAGAUCCAAUGGCCAUCAGCCCACGUAUAAAUCAUAAAUGCUACACCCUUAGCAAUAUGGCCUUAUAUAUCCUGUUCUUUUAAGAAUAUAUCAUACAUCCUUAAUUAUAGAAGGUGUAUAUUAUAAUCAGUGUUUUUUCAUACACACUUAUUAUAAUAUACACCUUCUAUAAUUAAGUGCAAUAUAUUGUAUUUUAUGAUAAGUCUAAGUAUAUUAUAGAUAUAUGUGAUAUAUUUUGAUUUUUGUAAUAUGUAUUUGUCUAUAUAAGACAAGCUUGUAUUUUCAUAUUGAUUAAUGGACAUUGAAUCUCUUCAUAGAAAUCUAGACUCUUAAGGUAUAAAAUGUGACAUAAAAAUGAAAAUAUCAAUUGGGAUUUUGAGGUUGGUUCCCACUUCUUGUCUUCUUACUUUGGGGGUUACAUCGUUGAAGAUUGAGAAACCAUACCCAAGAUUCGGAUGUUGCUUAUAAGCUUCUCUAAAAGCAUAUAUAUCCAUAUUCUGUGUGUUUAUAUCUUAUAUCUAUCGUUCUAUAUACUAUAUCCAUAUUUUGGUGAAGAAAAUAUUAAGUUAUACUCUGAAAACUUGAUUGACCAUGUAUAAUAUUGUGGCAUGAGCAAGGCAAGAUUGCAAGGAAAAUACUUAAUGUAUAUUAAAUUAAAUAAAUAAAUUAUGAAUUCAAAAACUAAUCAAUACAUGAUUUCUUAGAUCGCUUUAGCAUAUAUUGUAAUAAGAGACAUAUAUUUUAGUUUUUUCUUUUUCUUUUUUUGAUGUAUAGAAAUGUGACUUUGCAGCCGUUUAUUGUUGACAUCGGAUGACAGACAAGGUGCUAGGAUACCAUUGAACUCAAGCAGGCGGUGUCAAAGUCCUUUGCGCUAUAUGAUGGGAAAUAUAGUUGCCAGUCCCUCUGCCUAUGAAAUAGUAUGGUCCUGACAGCCCACAUUCGACGUCGGAAUAUUUAGAUGGAUGUAAAUGUGU